UCGUGACUGCGUGCCUUUUGAAGAAUGAGCCUGCGAGUUUGCGGUGUGUUGCGAGGUUAACCCGUGUGGGGGAGCCGUAGCGAAAGCGAGUCCGAAUAGGGCGAUUCAGUAGCGCGCUCAAGACCCGAAGCGGAGUGAUCUAGCCAUGGGCAGGUUGAAGCGGCUGUAAGAGGUCGUGGAGGACCGAACCCACCAGGGUUGAAAACCUGGGGGAUGACCUGUGGUUAGGGGUGAAAGGCCAAUCAAACUCCGUGAUAGCUGGUUCUCCCCGAAAUGCAUUUAGGUGCAGCGUCGUGUGUUUCUUGCCGGAGGUAGAGCACUGGAUAGGCGAUGGGCCCUACCGGGCUACUGACCUUAGCCAAACUCCGAAUGCCGGUAAGUGAGAGCGCGGCAGUGAGACUGUGGGGGAUAAGCUCCAUGGUCGAGAGGGAAACAGCCCAGAGCAUCGACUAAGGCCCCUAAGCGUACGCUAAGUGGGAAAGGAUGUGGAGUCGCAGAGACAACCAGGAGGUUGGCUUAGAAGCAGCCACCCUUGAAAGAGUGCGUAAUAGCUCACUGGUCCAAGUGAUUCCGCGCCGACAAUGUAGCGGGGCUCAAGCGUACCGCCGAAGUCGUGUCAUUGCAGUACAUACCCCCAACGGGGAAUGUGAUGGGUAGGGGAGCGUCGUGUGCCGGGUGAAGCCGCCGCGUAAGCGAGUGGUAGACGGUUCACGAGUGAGAAUGCAGGCAUGAGUAGCGAUACACACGUGAGAAACGUGUGCGCCGAUUGACUAAGGGUUCCUGGGUCAAGCUGAUCUGCCCAGGGUAAGUCGGGACCUAAGGCGAGGCCGACAGGCGUAGUCGAUGGACAACCGGUUGAUAUUCCGGUACCCGCUUUGAAACGCCCAAUAUCGAAUCAGGCGAUGCUAAGUCCGUGAAGCCGCCCUUGAUCUCUUCGGAGUGAGGGGGAGUGGUGGAGCCGACGGACCAGACUUGUAGUAGGUAAGCGAUGGGGUGACGCAGGAAGGUAGUCCAGCCCGGGCGGUGGUUGUCCCGGGGUAAGGGUGUAGGACGUACGGUAGGCAAAUCCGCCGUGCACAUAGUCUGAGACCUGAUGCCGAGCCGAUUGUGGUGAAGUGGAUGAUCCUAUGCUGUCGAGAAAAGCCUCUAGCGAGUUUCAUGGCGGCCCGUACCCUAAACCGACUCAGGUGGUCAGGUAGAGAAUACCGAGGCGUUCGGGUGAACUAUGGUUAAGGAACUCGGCAAAAUGCCCCCGUAACUUCGGGAGAAGGGGGGCCAUUUCUGGUGAUAGCACGUGCUGCUUGAGCUGGGGGUGGCCGCAGAGACCAGCGAGAAGCGACUGUUUACUAAAAACACAGGUCCGUGCGAAGCCGUAAGGCGAUGUAUACGGACUGACGCCUGCCCGGUGCUGGAACGUUAAGGGGACCGGUUAGCCAGGAUUCGUUCUGGCGAAGCUGAGAGCUUAAGCGCUAGUAAGCGGCGGUGGUAACUAUAACCAUCCUAAGGUAGCGAACUUCCUUGUCGGGUAAGUUCCGACCUGCACGAAUGGCGUAACGACUUCUCGACUGUCUCAACCAUAGGCCCGGUGAAAUUGCACUACGAGUAAAGAUGCUCGUUGCGCGCAGCAGGACGGAAAGACCCCGGGACCUUUACUACAGUUUGAUAUUGGUGUUCGGUUCGGCUUGUGUAGGAUAGGUGGGAGACUGUGAUACGGGCACGCCAGUGUUCGUGGAGUCGCUGUUGAAAUACCACGCUGGUCGGGCUGUAUGUCUAACCUGGGUCCGUGAUCCGGAUCAGGGACAGUGUCUGAUGGGUAGUUUAACUGGGGCGGUUGCCUCCUAAAGAGUAACGGAGGCGCCCAAAGGUUCCCUCAGCCUGGUUGGUAAUCAGGUGUUGAGUGUAAGUGCACAAGGGAGCUUGACUGUGAGACCGACGGGUCGAGCAGGGACGAAAGUCGGGACUAGUGAUCCGGCGGUGGCUUGUGGAAGCGCCGUCGCUCAACGGAUAAAAGGUACCCCGGGGAUAACAGGCUGAUCUUCCCCAAGAGUCCAUAUCGACGGGAUGGUUUGGCACCUCGAUGUCGGCUCGUCGCAUCCUGGGGCUGGAGUCGGUCCCAAGGGUUGGGCUGUUCGCCCAUUAAAGCGGUACGCGAGCUGGGUUUAGAACGUCGUGAGACAGUUCGGUCCCUAUCCGCUGUGCGCGUAGGAGUCUUGAGAAGGGCUGUCCCUAGUACGAGAGGACCGGGACGGACGAACCUCUGGUGUGCCAGUUGUCCUGCCAAGGGCAUGGCUGGUUGGCUACGUUCGGGAGGGAUAACCGCUGAAAGCAUCUAAGCGGGAAGCCUGCUCGCGAUGAGGACUCCCACCACCUUGAGGGGUUAAGGCUCCCAGUAGACGACUGGGUUGAUAGGCCGGAUCUGGAAGCACCGUGAGGUGUGGAGGUGACCGGUACUAAUAGGCCGAGGGCUUGUCCUCAGUUG
rnacentral:rRNA from 1 species